GCCUAAUACAUGCAAGUCGUACGCUUGCUUACCACCACCGGAGCUUGCUCCACCGGAAAAAGAGGAGUGGCGAACGGGUGAGUAACACGUGGGUAACCUGCCCAUCAGAAGGGGAUAACACUUGGAAACAGGUGCUAAUACCGUAUAACAAUCGAAACCGCAUGGUUUUGAUUUGAAAGGCGCUUUCGGGUGUCGCUGAUGGAUGGACCCGCGGUGCAUUAGCUAGUUGGUGAGGUAACGGCUCACCAAGGCGACGAUGCAUAGCCGACCUGAGAGGGUGAUCGGCCACAUUGGGACUGAGACACGGCCCAAACUCCUACGGGAGGCAGCAGUAGGGAAUCUUCGGCAAUGGACGAAAGUCUGACCGAGCAACGCCGCGUGAGUGAAGAAGGUUUUCGGAUCGUAAAACUCUGUUGUUAGAGAAGAACAAGGAUGAGAGUAACUGUUCAUCCCUUGACGGUAUCUAACCAGAAAGCCACGGCUAACUACGUGCCAGCAGCCGCGGUAAUACGUAGGUGGCAAGCGUUGUCCGGAUUUAUUGGGCGUAAAGCGAGCGCAGGCGGUUUCUUAAGUCUGAUGUGAAAGCCCCCGGCUCAACCGGGGAGGGUCAUUGGAAACUGGGAGACUUGAGUGCAGAAGAGGAGAGUGGAAUUCCAUGUGUAGCGGUGAAAUGCGUAGAUAUAUGGAGGAACACCAGUGGCGAAGGCGGCUCUCUGGUCUGUAACUGACGCUGAGGCUCGAAAGCGUGGGGAGCAAACAGGAUUAGAUACCCUGGUAGUCCACGCCGUAAACGAUGAGUGCUAAGUGUUGGAGGGUUUCCGCCCUUCAGUGCUGCAGCUAACGCAUUAAGCACUCCGCCUGGGGAGUACGACCGCAAGGUUGAAACUCAAAGGAAUUGACGGGGGCCCGCACAAGCGGUGGAGCAUGUGGUUUAAUUCGAAGCAACGCGAAGAACCUUACCAGGUCUUGACAUCCUUUGACCACUCUAGAGAUAGAGCUUCCCCUUCGGGGGCAAAGUGACAGGUGGUGCAUGGGUUGUCGUCAGCUCGGGUCGUGAGAUGUUGGGUUAAGUCCCGCAACG
rnacentral:rRNA from 1 species